rnacentral:rRNA from 1 species
CCUACGGGAGGCAGCAGUGAGGAAUAUUGGUCAAUGGCCGUAAGGCUGAACCAGCCAAGUCGCGGGAAGGAAGAAGGAUCUAUGGUUUGUAAACUUCUUUUAUAGGGGAAUAAAGGUAUCCACGUGUGGAUAUUUGCAUGUACCCUAUGAAUAAGCAUCGGCUAACUCCGUGCCAGCAGCCGCGGUAAUACGGAGGAUGCGAGCGUUAUCCGGAUUUAGUGGGUUUAAAGGGUGCGUAGGUUUGUUUUUAAGUCAGCGGUGAAAGUUUGUGGCUCAACCAUAAAAUUGCCGUUGAAACUGGAAGACUUGAGUGUGUUUGAGGUAGGCGGAAUGCGUGGUGUAGCGGUGAAAUGCAUAGAUAUCACGCAGAACUCCGAUUGCGAAGGCAGCUUACUAAGCCAUAACUGACACUGAAGCACGAAAGCGUGGGGAUCAAACAGGAUUAGAUACCCCUGUAGUC